AGGCCCUUCGGGGUACUCGAGCGGCGAACGGGUGAGUAACACGUGAGCAACCUGCCCCUAGCUCUGGGAUAGCUCCGGGAAACCGGGAUUAAUACCAGAUACGACCACUUUAGACAUCUGCUGUGGUGGAAAGGAUUCCGGCUAGGGAUGGGCUCGCGGCCUAUCAGCUUGUUGGUGGGGUAACGGCCUACCAAGGCGACGACGGGUAGCCGGCCUGAGAGGGCGACCGGCCACACUGGGGAUGAGACACGGCCCAGGAUCCUACGGGAGGCAGCAGUGGGGAAACAUUGCGCAAUGGGCGAAAGCCUGACGCAGCGACGCCGCGUGGGGGAUGAAGGCCUUCGGGUUGUAAACCCCUUUCAGCAGGGACGAAGCGAAAGUGACGGUACCUGCAGAAGAAGCGCCGGCUAACUACGUGCCAGCAGCCGCGGUAACACGUAGGGCGCAAGCGUUGUCCGGAAACUAUUGGGCGUAAAGAGCUCGUAGGCGGUCUGUUGCGUCCGCUGUGAAAACUCGGGGCUUAACCCCGAGCCUGCAGUGGAUACGGGCAGGAUAGAGGUAGGUAGGGGAGAAUGGAAACUCCCGGUGUAGCGGUGAAAUGCGCAGAUAUCGGGAGGAACACCGGUGGCGAAGGCGGUUCUCUGGGCCUUACCUGACGCUGAGGAGCGAAAGCGUGGGGAGCGAACAGGAUUAGAUACCCUGGUAGUCCACGCCGUA
rnacentral:rRNA from 1 species